rnacentral:snRNA from 1 species
GUGCUCGCUUCAGCAGCACAUAUACUAAAACUGGAAUGAUACAGAGAAGUUUAUCAUGGCCCCUGUGCAAAGAUGACAUGCAAAUUCAUGAAGUGUUCCAUUAAAAA